GUGAGUCUGUGGCAUUAGCCUGUGGAGAAUUGAGCUCCAAGCCCCUUCCUCUCUCUUCUCAGCCAUCUCAAAGACUACUUUUACUCCACCACAUGACCCCCACGCGUUGCCUAACGAAGCCAGGCUACCUUACCCUGGACCAAAGCCUCAGGUAUUUGGUCAAAGUGACAAAACCUAAUAUAAUGAUGGUGUCUUUUCAUUCCAUUGUAGCUGGAGUUUAUUGUUUUCAGAGGCGACCCACACAUUACAAAAUCUUUGAAGUCAGAGAACCUUGGGGAGAGUUUCAGAGCCUACUGCAGAACCCAGAGAAUGGAACGAGUAAAUGUUUAUGCAUAUGGACUUAGCGUUCACAGUACACCGUGAGCCUAUGUUUAUGCAUAUGGACUUAGCGUUCACAGUACACCGUGAGCCUUUGAAUUCCCAGAAGGACACGCUAUCCCUGGAACUGAGAACCUGACUCAGGAGUGGCACGCUGUGGACAAGCAGUAAGUGCUCUCGGUGGACCAUCAAAGUGAUACCAGCUACUGCAGGGGCAUGCCUGUCUACCCAUGGUGGUGACACCUCAGGGGACACUAACCGGUCUAUGCCCUGUGGCUCCAGAGGAGGAAAACAGUGACACAGCAGAAGUCAGUGGGAAUCGAUGGAGCUCUGAAGCCUGGCUCCACAUGGUCGGCCUUCUGCUCUCUGCAGUGUGACUUUGAAGCAAGUUAUUCCAACUGAGUCUCACUUCUUCCUCUCCACAGGGAGACGUCAUUCCAACCUGACAGACUGUCAUGAGAAUUAAGUGAAGAAAUCUGGAGCAGUAGGUCCAGGACCCUGCACACACAUCUCGUUAGAAUUGUCAUGUGCAGGGUCUUGGAAAAUAGCCAAGUGUUCAUGGUUUUCUUCUUGGAUCCUCACCGUAAUCUCAGGAGGCAGGCAGGUCCGACCAGAAGAAUUAAAGUCAUUUAAGAUUAUGUGGAUGAUCAUCAUGGGGGCUGGAAUCCGUCUUGCAGGUGUGUGCUGGAGUGUAAACAGCUGGAGUGUAAACAGCUGGAGGCCUGAGCUUGGGUUGAAUUCCUAUCUUUGCUCUGCCAUGAGCUAGCCCUGUGCUCCUGUGCAGAUCCUGUCUGUGUGCAUCAUGGGUAUUUCCUGUCUUACAGGUCAGUUGUGAGGAGUGGAUGAGCUAGUGCUAAUUAGACAUCCAGCAGAGCAUCCAGUGGGUGCUCAAUAAACGUUCAUGCCCAGGCUCAUGCCACUUGCUGUCUUGCUGUUGGGCCGUGUGUUGGUGGUCAUUUCUGUGGGGCGUUAUACUCCAUCUGUGCCACACCCACUCCAGUAGAGUCUGUGUGACCUGAAGCUCUUGUGGUUCGUUUCUGUCCAGAACAGAGGCCUCCUGGAGUUCCUGGCCGUCUCCCUGCAAAAAGAUAACGACUAGGGUCUAUGCUUGCGGUGGAGGUGCCUUCUGUGUUCUAGCCUUGGUGAUCUUAGCAACUUUAAGCCUGUCAACAAUAUCUGAUUUUAAGAACAUAGCAGUGUGGGAAGAUGGUCAUGUACCUUUAGAUGUCUCAGGAACUGAAAGUUCGGAGACGGAAACGUCUCACACCAUCAUGAUCCUGAUAAACUCAACGGCCGCGAUGAAUUCAACUGCUGUACCCAUUAGCUCCCAGCAAAUAGGAGAGAAAUUAAUUGCAGCUACUAACAAUAUGACUGUUCCAGAAAAGCCUUUCCCCCGUUUUGGAAAAGUUUUGUUUAGCAUGAUUCAAAACAGUAAUGAUUCUUUUAAAAAGAUCAUAGACAAGUUCCAACAAGUUGAACAAAUUUAUCAAGAGUUAACCCUGUUUCCACUGUAGAUCUCUGUGAGAGUGGAAGUGAUGGCCCUUGUACCAGCUAUCAGUCAGGGAAGAAAGCAAAGGGGUCAUCUCUGUGCCUGCACCAAAUCUGCUAGAGAGGGGUGUGUGUGUGUGUGUGUGUGUGUGUGUGUGUGUGUGAGAGAGAGAGAGAGAGACAGACAGACAGACAGACAGACAGACAGACAGAGAACGUGUACAUGUGCAUAGGUGUGUAUGGUGUAGUUUCAUAGUUUUCCAAACCUGGCUUUUUCUGUCUACAUCAUUUUCUAAGAUAUUUCGGUUGUUCAGUGUGUGUCCCUGUGGUCAUCACUAUUGACUUUUUUGACUUAAUCCUGCUGUUGGUUUUGACAGAUCUUUUAAUACCAUUAUAGCUGCAUUUCCUCUUACAGAUGUUUAUUAUGGGCCAGGUGCACAUGACUUUUGUUUUGUGGCUGUUGAAUUUUUGCGUUUCAGACCUGCAGUUAUCAAAUGAGCUGUUCUCCAUCUCUCCUGACUACCUUUUCAGGAGAGAGGGAAUUAGUAGAGAAAGAGCAUAUGGUGGGAAUAAGGUGGUCUUUCUUUUUUAAAAUAAAUUUUAAUGUAUUGUU
ensembl:lncRNA